GGCUAGCAACGACCGCUACGCCAUUCUACCAUAGUUACUCGAGCGCGCGCCACCACUGUAUCUCUUCGCACAUUCCGUAGGGCUCAAAAUUAUCCGUCUCUUUCCCACUUCCUGUCAACCCUUUACAACCCUCUCCCUUCAUAAAGUUAUUCCUUGAUUUGAAAAAUUAUAUACAAAACUCAUAGAGCAAUCCCGUCAUCUAGUUUUAUAUCCGUGAAAUCGCAGACGUUUUUUGGACAAUGAAGCCCUUAUCAGGGCGUCAUUCUAUUCCUAUCGGUCGUACAGUUUUAUCUUAAUACAGUGCUAAAUAUUCGUUUCUAGGCUGAGCGCGCGCGUCGAACUUAGGCCUAAAUAGUCCGCGGAGCGUCGGUUACGCGAAAUUUUUGCACAAAUCGAAGCCACAAAUUCCCAAUAAGAUUCUUAUAGGCCUAUUUAGAAGACUGCUGGAUUACACUCCAAGGACCCCAAAGUUUUCGUAUAAAACAGGUUUCGAUCAAAAACCGGGUCAAAACUUUAUUUUCUAAACGUUUUUGUGAAGUGACUGUGAAAAGACCGAAACGACUUCGAAGAAGUGCUCUGGAAUUGUCUGUCUUUGGAUUUUCCUGGAUAUUUUCAUUAAAAAUGCAAAUAUCACAGAGACGCCACUCUUGAAAGUAAAAUUGAUUCGAAUAUGGGGGGAAAAGAGAUGGAAUGAAUACCUACUGGAUCAUACAAAGGCAAGCAAAUUUUAAGUAUUUUAAUUCUUAUCAAUUAAGAGAUAUAUAUAAUAAAUAUAAAUUAUAUACGGGACAAAUUACACAGAUUGAGUUAGCCUCGAAGUAAGUUCGAGACUUAUGUUACGAGAUACUAACUCAACGAUACUAUAUUUUCUAAUAAAUACGAGGUCUGACUAUUAAAUAACGAGACUGCUUAAGAAAAAGAGUUUUAUUUUAAAAAAUAUUCUACAAUCGAAUGCUCCCCUUCAAUAUACUCCCCUUCCCUCGCCUCAUCAUGCCCUAGCCGGGAUUCGAACCCUGGACCUCCUGUGUCACAGACAAGCGUAUUACCGCUGCGCCACAGAGGCCGUCAAGAAGAAAAUUAACCAAUGCUCUUUGGCGAGGAUAAACAUCGUGAAGAAACCUGCACAUUCAGGCAACUAGAUGUGUAACCAUGGAUCCAAUAAGGGUUAGGUUUAUUUACAAAGCCUGCGGAGGUCAGAUUCGUGUAAAAACCUGACACACCCAAUCCAGGAUCUAUGGUCAAAGGCAUAACCCGAGCUCCUCUCCAGAGUGGCGAGAAUGCAACCGGGACUAAAGCCAGGAGGAAUUAGACUUUAUUCCUGCAUAUACGUCUUUCGCUGUAGGUUGUUUGACAUUAUGACCUGAUACAUACAUACACAUACAUGCAUAUGGUAACGUCUAUAUCCCUUGUGGGGUAGACAGAGCCAACAGUCUUGAAAAGACUGAUCGGCCACGUUCAGCUAUUGGGCUUAAUGAUAGAAUUGAGAUCCAAAUAGUGACAGUUUGCUAGCCCAUCGCCUAAAAAAAGAAUCCCAAGUUUGUAAGCCUAUCCCUUAGUCGCCUUUUACGACAUCCAUGGUAAAUAGAUGGUACUAUUCUUUUUUUUUUAUUGGUGCCGGGAACCACACGGCACUAUGACCUGAUCUUUUACCAAAACGUCCACAUUGAUCAAGAAACCUUCCCCUUAGGACCCAUAUUCUCCAUAGAUACCAUUUGGACAAUAAAGAUGAUGAAAUAAACUGGGAACAAACUAAAACUGUGCCAAUAGGUUCAGUACAAAGAAUUUCUUGAUUUUAUCGGCGUCAGUGAACUGAAAAUCUACAAACUAAACGCCUAAAUAUAUCUCCAACAUUACCAUUUGAAAUUAAAUUGUAAAUUGUUAAUUUUAGAGUCGAAAUUCCUUCGUAAUAUAGAUUAUUUCUGGCAUGUUGGCAUCACUGAUUUGUGUCUGCGAAUUAUUUUUAUUUAGUCUGUCCCGAAUCGUGGCGCGGGAAGAUUGUGCCGGUGUCGGUGAGAGAGCGCGCGAAAUUUUAUAACCUCAAUGUUGCGUGAUUUUUGUGUGUGUGAAAUGUGAUUGUGUUUUGUGCGUGUUUUCUAGGAAUUAAUGACUUUAU